AGUUUUGAUUUUGGGAAUUUGUUGACAUUUUCUCUGCUUCCAGAGAACUAUUAUAUUGGUGCUUGUAAGCAUUGGAUCCUGUAUUGCAUGUGGUAGAGCUGAGUACAGAAUAGAGGAUACAUGUUGUCUCAUGUGUUCACCAGGUAAGGAACCUCUCUUUACAUCAUCACCAGAGGUUCAUAAAUGAUCAACACCAAUAGAAAAACAUGACAUUGUGAUUUUCUAUUCCCCAGGAAAUCAUGUACAUAAGCAUUGCACUGAAUUCACCACUACCUCCUGUGUGUCCUGUAUUGAUUCUACAUUCCUUGAUGAGCCCAAUGGUCUCAUGAAAUGUGCACCAUGUUCCAGCUGUGAUUCAGAUUUGGGUUUGAGGGUGAAACAGCCAUGCACAUCACAAUCAGAUGAUUUUUGUGAGCCACUGGAGGGGUUCUUUUGUUGGUUCUCAAACAAAAAUGGUUGUAAAAUAGCCCAGAAACACAGAAGCUGUAAACCUGGUCAAUACAUCCAUCACACAGGAACUACAUCUACAGAUACUGUGUGUUCUGACUGUACUGGUGACACCUAUUCAGAUGGUUCAUUAACAGCCUGCCAGCCACACACUGGAUGUGAAUCCUUGGGACUUCAGGAAAUUAAACCAGGAACUCCUUGGUCGGAUUCAGAGUGUGGACCACAGCUAUCCCAUUCCACAGCUAGAAGCAGAAUUGUUGCCCUGGCAGUUGUCAUUAUAUUAGCUGGAGGGGCUUUCUUAUGUAUAAUGGUGGGAAGAAGGUCCAGAAGGAUCCUUAACAGCUUCUGCUGUUAAGACUGCUGAACAUUUAAUCAAAUGGCCACCCGGUUUUACCUAUGCAUAGUCACUUUACUCCUACCUACAU